AGAGCGAACGCUGGCGGCAGGCUUAACACAUGCAAGUCGAGCGCCCGUAGCAAUACGGGAGCGGCAGACGGGUGAGUAACACGUGGGAACGUGCCUUUUGGUUCGGAACAACUGAGGGAAACUUCAGCUAAUACCGGAUAAGCCCUUACGGGGAAAGAUUUAUCGCCAAGAGAUCGGCCCGCGUCUGAUUAGCUAGUUGGUGGGUAAUGGCCCACCAAGGCUACGAUCAGUAGCUGGUCUGAGAGGAUGAUCAGCCACACUGGGACUGAGACACGGCCCAGACUCCGUACGGGAGGCAGCAGGUGGGGAAUCGUUGGACAAUGGGCGCAAGCCUGAUCCAGCCAUGCCGCGUGAGUGAUGGAAGGCCUUAGGGUUGUAAAGCUUCUUUCGAGGCGGGGAAGAUAAGUGACCGGUACCCGACGAAGAAGAACGCCCCGGACUAACGUUCGUCGCCAGCAACGCCGUC
rnacentral:rRNA from 1 species